AAUAAAGAUUCGAACAUUUCGCCUCUAUACAAUUUUAACAAGAAGGUAUUGGAUCCGGAUCUAACGAUCCAAAAACAUCCUUGUUUCACCAACUCGUAACUUAUGUUUUUAGAGGUAUCACAAUUUAGUUGGGAUUAGUCACUACCUUGCAACCUUUUGGGUUUUAAGCAUCAUUAUUUUCUAAACAGUUAACACUACCAUAUUAUCUCUACUAUAGAGACAAUCAAUUAGAUUACUAUAAUCCAAUUUCUUUGGUAGUUCAUAUGAGGAAGUAAGUA
rnacentral:lncRNA from 1 species